AUCCAGCUGCCGAGUCCUAAAUAAAACGAAACGCGAGUCCUGAAU
rnacentral:hammerhead_ribozyme from 1 species